AGUGAACGCUGGCGGUAGGCCUAACACAUGCAAGUCGAACGGCAGCACAGUAAGAGCUUGCUCUUACGGGUGGCGAGUGGCGGACGGGUGAGGAAUACGUCGGAAUCUACUUUUUCGUGGGGGAUAACGUGGGGAAACUUACGCUAAUACCGCAUACGACCUACGGGUGAAAGCAGGGGAUCUUCGGACCUUGGGCGAUUGAAUGAGCCGAUGUCGGAUUAGCUAGUUGGCGGGGUAAAGGCCCACCAAGGCGACGAUCCGUAGCUGGUCUGAGAGGAUGAUCAGCCACACUGGAACUGAGACACGGUCCAGACUCCUACGGGAGGCAGCAGUGGGGAAUAUUGGACAAUGGGCGCAAGCCUGAUCCAGCCAUACCGCGUGGGUGAAGAAGGCCUUCGGGUUGUAAAGCCCUUUUGUUGGGAAAGAAAAGCAGCAGGUUAAUACCCCGCUGUUCUGACGGUACCCAAAGAAUAAGCACCGGCUAACUUCGUG
rnacentral:rRNA from 1 species